UACGGAGGAUGCGAGCGUUAUCCGGAUCUAUUGGGUUUAAAGGGUGCGUAGGCGGACGCUUAAGUCAGCGGUAAAAUUGCGGGGCUCAACCUCGUCGAGCCGUUGAAACUGGGUGUCUUGAGUGGGCGAGAAGUACGCGGAAUGCGUGGUGUAGCGGUGAAAUGCAUAGAUAUCACGCGGAACUCCGAUUGCGAAGGCAGCGUACCGGCGCCCAACUGACGCUGAAGCACGAAGGCGUGGGUAUCGAACAGG
rnacentral:rRNA from 1 species